rnacentral:lncRNA from 1 species
GAGACGAUCGUGAGCGAUAGGGAAUGAGACGAGAGAUGGCAAACGCGUUUGAGAGAGGGUUCUGGCGAGAGAGGUUGAGUUUCGUUGAGAGUGAGAUUGAGGGUAACUGAGGACGAUGACUAUGUGAUUACAGUGUUUUUUCAUUUUCCUUUUUUUGGUUCCCUUCUAUUUAUUCCUUUUUAUUUAUUUAUUUUAGUAAGAACAACUUUGAAACCAUUACUUUUUCUACGUUUAAACUUCCUAGAUUUUCAUUUAAUAGUGUUUUCAUUUACUAGUGUAUUAGUAUA